UGGGUUCCUCAGGAGGUGGGAUGGCUCAAGAGUGGAGCUUGGGGAGUCUCAGAGCUAGGGAUGUAAGACAAGGCAGGUACCACACUGGGUAUAGAGGGCAGGUAACUUGUGGAGGGCAGUGUUGUCUCACUGUUCAGAGAUCCAAGGUUCUGUGUGGACACCAGGCCAGCAGCAUAGUCAGGGGUGGCAUUUUCAAAAACCACCUCUUCCUUGGUGGGCUUUUCUCUCACUUCUGUGUCUAAAGUCUUCCUCCUCCUCUUUACCUCUGAGCACCAACCGUAUUGAGAAAUAUCCAGCUGCUUCACACCCCUUUCUUCAGUGGUGUCCUCAAAGGUGUUAUUGGAGUCUGGUUCCCAGAAGGGCUGAAGACACUGGUUGUGUUGGG
rnacentral:lncRNA from 1 species